GACGAGCGGCGGACGGGUGAGUAAUGCCUAGGGAUCUGCCCAGUCGAGGGGGAUAACAGUUGGAAACGACUGCUAAUACCGCAUACGCCCUACGGGGGAAAGGAGGGGACCUUCGGGCCUUCCGCGAUUGGAUGAACCUAGGUGGGAUUAGCUAGUUGGUGAGGUAAUGGCUCACCAAGGCGACGAUCCCUAGCUGUUCUGAGAGGAUGAUCAGCCACACUGGGACUGAGACACGGCCCAGACUCCUACGGGAGGCAGCAGUGGGGAAUAUUGCACAAUGGGGGAAACCCUGAUGCAGCCAUGCCGCGUGUGUGAAGAAGGCCUUCGGGUUGUAAAGCACUUUCAGUAGGGAGGAAAGGUGGUGUGUUAAUAAACNAUUACUGUGACGUUACCUACAGAAGAAGGACCGGCUAACUCCGUGCCAGCAGCCGCGGUAAUACGGAGGGUCCGAGCGUUAAUCGGAAUUACUGGGCGUAAAGCGUGCGCAGGCGGUUUGUUAAGCCAGAUGUGAAAUCCCCGGGCUCAACCUGGGAAUUGCAUUUGGAACUGG
rnacentral:rRNA from 1 species